UACCAGCACCCCGAGUGGUCGGGACGAUUAUUGGGCCUAAAGCAUCCGUAGCCGGUCCUGCAAGUCUUCCGUUAAAUCCAGCUGCUUAACAGAUGGGCCGCAGGAGAUACUACAGGGCUAGGAGGCGGGAGAGGCAAGCGGUACUUUAUGGGUAGGGGUAAAAUCCGCUGAUCCAUAGAAGACCACCAGUGGCGAAGGCGGCUUGCCAGAACGCGCUCGACGGUGAGGGAUGAAAGCUGGGGGAGCAAACCGGAUUAGAAACCUAGUAGUCC
rnacentral:rRNA from 1 species